rnacentral:lncRNA from 1 species
CCGAUUAUUGUUUGUACUAAAUGUUAUUUUUCCUAUUAAAACAAACAAUAAAUUAAUUUAUGUCUUUUUUAGUCACUUUCUGUACAACACCAACCCUGCUCACAAUUUUAACCAAACAUAUCAUGUCAUUAUUUUUGACAAAAUAAAAUCAAACCACAAUUUUAACCAAACACACAUUUUAUAUGAACCAAUAACAGCAAAAGUGAUUUUUUCAAAAUUAAUUUUUUCAAACC